GAGAUGGAUUGGUGCCUUCGGGAACUGUGAGACAGGUGCUGCAUGGCUGUCGUCAGCUCGUGUUGUGAAAUGUUGGGUUAAGUCCCGCAACGAGCGCAACCCUUAUCCUUUGUUGCCAGCGGUCCGGCCGGGAACUCAAAGGAGACUGCCAGUGAUAAACUGGAGGAAGGUGGGGAUGACGUCAAGUCAUCAUGGCCCUUACGACCAGGGCUACACACGUGCUACAAUGGCGCAUACAAAGAGAAGCGACCUCGCGAGAGCAAGCGGACCUCAUAAAGUGCGUCGUAGUCCGGAUUGGAGUCUGCAACUCGACUCCAUGAAGUCGGAAUCGCUAGUAAUCGUGGAUCAGAAUGCCACGGUGAAUACGUUCCCGGGCCUUGUACACACCGCCCGUCACACCAUGGGAGUGGGUUGCAAAAGAAGUAGGUAGCUUAACCUUCGGGAGGGCGCUUACCACUUUGUGAUUCAUGACUGGGGUGAAGUCGUAACAAGGUAACCGUAGGGGAACCUGCGGUUGGAUCACCUCCUUA
rnacentral:rRNA from 1 species